rnacentral:misc_RNA from 1 species
AAUUACUGCAAGGACUAGUCCCUGAAAUAUUUUCAGUAGAGCUGUGUUGCUCCAGGCUAUCACUUAAUGUGGUAGGGGUACCAGGAUCAUUAUAGUUUGCAAAUGGAGAAUUCGGAGAAUUUCCCGAAUCAAAUUUCAAUAUUCCCAACAGCCUAUUAGGUAUCGAAGGGGUAGUAGUCAUAGAGUAAGAAUAUGGCAAAUUCACAUCAGUCGCA